rnacentral:rRNA from 1 species
UCUGGCUCAGGAUGAACGCUGGCGGCGUGCCUAACACAUGCAAGUCGAACGGAGUUAUGACGCUGACGAGACUUCGGUCAAAUCUUGUUGUAACUUAGUGGCGGACGGGUGAGUAACGCGUGGAUAACCUGCCAUAUACAGGGGGAUAACAGUUAGAAAUGACUGCUAAUACCGCAUAAGCGCACGGUCCCGCAUGGGACAGUGUGAAAAAACUCCGGUGGUAUAUGAUGGAUCCGCGUCUGAUUAGCCAGUUGGCGGGGUAACGGCCCACCAAAGCGACGAUCAGUAGCCGGCCUGAGAGGGUGAACGGCCACAUUGGGACUGAGACACGGCCCAAACUCCUACGGGAGGCAGCAGUGGGGGAUAUUGCACAAUGGGGGAAACCCUGAUGCAAGCGACGCCGCGUGAGUGAAGAAGUAUUUCGGUAUGUAAAGCUCUAUCAGCAGGGAAGAUAAUGACGGUACCUGACUAAGAAGCACCGGCUAAAUACGUGCCAGCCGCCGC